rnacentral:rRNA from 1 species
UACGUAGGGUGCAAGCGUUAUCCGGAAUUAUUGGGCGUAAAGAGCUCGUAGGCGGUUUGUCGCGUCUGCUGUGAAAACCCGAGGCUCAACCUCGGGCCUGCAGUGGGUACGGGCAGACUAGAGUGCGGUAGGGGAGAAUGGAAUUCCUGGUGUAGCGGUGGAAUGCGCAGAUAUCAGGAGGAACACCGAUGGCGAAGGCAGUUCUCUGGGCACUUACUGACGCUGAGGAGCGAAAGCGUGGGGAGCGAACAGG